UUAAGCAUAUCAAUAAGCGGAGGAAAAGAAACCAACAGGGAUUGCCUCAGUAACGGCGAGUGAAGCGGCAACAGCUCAAAUUUGAAAUCUGGCUCUUUCAGGGUCCGAGUUGUAAUUUGUAGAAGAUGCUUCGGGUGUGGUUCCGGUCUAAGUUCCUUGGAACAGGACGUCGUAGAGGGUGAGAAUCCCGUAUGUGACUGGAUGCCUUCGCCUAUGUGAAGCUCUUUCGACGAGUCGAGUUGUUUGGGAAUGCAGCUCAAAAUGGGUGGUAAAUUUCAUCUAAAGCUAAAUAUGGGCCAGAGACCGAUAGCGCACAAGUAGAGUGAUCGAAAGAUGAAAAGCACUUUGGAAAGAGAGUUAAACAGUACGUGAAAUUGUUGAAAGGGAAGCGCUUGCAACCAGACUUGCGCGUGGUUGAUCAUCCGGUGUUCUCACCGGUGCACUCGAUUACGUUCAGGCCAGCAUCGGUUUGAGUGGUUGGAUAAAGACCUUAGGAAUGUAGCUUCUCUCGGGAAGUGUUAUAGCCUUUGGUGUAAUGCAGCCUACUUGGACCGAGGACCGCGCUUCGGCUAGGAUGCUGGCGUAAUGGUUGUAAGCGACCCGUCUUGAAACACGGACCAAGGAGUCUAACAUCUAUGCGAGUGUUUGGGUGUUAAACCCAUACGCGUAAUGAAAGUGAACGGAGGUAAGAACCCUUAAGGGUGCAUUAUCGACCGAUCCUGAUGUCUUCGGAUGGAUUUGAGUAAGAGCAUAGCUGUUGGGACCCGAAAGAUGGUGAACUAUACGUGAAUAGGGUGAAGCCAGAGGAAACUCUGGUGGAGGCUCGCAGCGGUUCUGACGUGCAA
rnacentral:rRNA from 1 species